rnacentral:rRNA from 1 species
UCCUACGGGAGGCAGCAGUGGGGAAUAUUGCACAAUGGGCGCAAGCCUGAUGCAGCGACGCCGCGUGAGGGAUGACGGCCUUCGGGUUGUAAACCUCUUUCAGUAGGGAAGAAGCGUAAGUGACGGUACCUGCAGAAGAAGCGCCGGCUAACUACGUGCCAGCAGCCGCGGUAAUACGUAGGGCGCAAGCGUUAUCCGGAAUUAUUGGGCGUAAAGAGCUCGUAGGCGGUUUGUCGCGUCUGCCGUGAAAGUCCGGGGCUCAACUCCGGAUCUGCGGUGGGUACGGGCAGACUAGAGUGAUGUAGGGGAGACUGGAAUUCCUGGUGUAGCGGUGAAAUGCGCAGAUAUCAGGAGGAACACCGAUGGCGAAGGCAGGUCUCUGGGCAUUAACUGACGCUGAGGAGCGAAAGCAUGGGGAGCGAACAGGAUUAGAUACCCUGGUAGUCCAUGCCGUAAACGUUGGGCACUAGGUGUGGGGGACAUUCCACGUUUUCCGCGCCGUAGCUAACGCAUUAAGUGCCCCGCCUGGGGAGUACGGCCGCAAGGCUAAAACUCAAAGGAAUUGACGGCGGGCGGGGGCGGCGG